rnacentral:rRNA from 1 species
UUGAGUGCAGCAUAGGUAGGCGGAAUUCGUGGUGUAGCGGUGAAAUGCUUAGAUAUCACGAAGAACUCCGAUUGCGAAGGCAGCUUACUGGACUGUAACUGACGCUGAUGCUCGAAAGUGUGGGUAUCAAACAGGAUUAGAUACCCUGGUAGUCCACACAGUAAACGAUGAAUACUCGCUGUUGGCGAUACACAGUCAGCGGCCAAGCGAAAGCAUUAAGUAUUCCACCUGGGGAGUACGCCGGCAACGGUGAAACUCAAAGGAAUUGACGGGGGCCCGCACAAGCGGAGGAACAUGUGGUUUAAUUCGAUGAUACGCGAGGAACCUUACCCGGGCUUAAAUUGCAGCGGAAUGUAGUGGAAACAUUACAGCCUUCGGGCCGCUGUGAAGGUGCUGCAUGGUUGUCGUCAGCUCGUGCCGUGAGGUGUCGGCUUAAGUGCCAUAACGAGCGCAACCCUUAUCUAUAGUUACUAUCAGGUCAUGCUGAGGACUCUAUGGAGACUGCCGUCGUAAGAUGUGAGGAAGGUGGGGAUGACGUCAAAUCAGCACGGCCCUUACGUCCGGGGCUACACACGUGUUACAAUGGGGGGUACAGAAGGCAGCUACCUGGCGACAGGAUGCUAAUCCCUAAAACCUCUCUCAGUUCGGAUUGGAGUCUGCAACCCGACUCCAUGAAGCUGGAUUCGCUAGUAAUCGCGCAUCAGCCACGGCGCGGUGAAUACGUUCCCGGGCCUUGUACACACCGCCCGUCAAGCCAUGAAAGCCGGGGGUACCUGAAGUACGUAACCGCAAGGAGCGUCCUAGGGUAAAACUGG